UACGAAGGGGGCUAGCGUUGCUCGGAAUCACUGGGCGUAAAGCGCACGUAGGCGGAUUGUUAAGUCAGGGGUGAAAUCCUGGAGCUCAACUCCAGAACUGCCUUUGAUACUGGCGAUCUUGAGUCCGGGAGAGGUGAGUGGAACUGCGAGUGUAGAGGUGAAAUCGUAGAUAUUCGCAAGAACACCAGUGGCGAAGGCGGACUCACUGGCCCG
rnacentral:rRNA from 1 species